rnacentral:rRNA from 1 species
AUUGAACGCUGGCGGAGUGCUUUACACAUGCAAGUCGAACGGUAGAGGGGGCAACCCCUCGAGAGUGGCGAACGGGUGAGUAAUAUAUCGGAACGUGCCCAGUCGUGGGGGAUAACGUAGCGAAAGUUACGCUAAUACCGCAUACGAUCUAAGGAUGAAAGCGGGGGAUCGCAAGACCUCGCGCGAUUGGAGCGGCCGAUAGCAGAUUAGGUAGUUGGUGGGGUAAAGGCUCACCAAGCCAACGAUCUGUAGCUGGUCUGAGAGGACGACCAGCCACACUGGAACUGAGACACGGUCCAGACUCCUACGGGAGGCAGCAGUGGGGAAUUUUGGACAAUGGACGCAAGUCUGAUCCAGCCAUUCCGCGUGCAGGAUGAAGGCCCUCGGGUUGUAAACUGCUUUUGUACGGAACGAAAAGGUCUCUCUUAAUACGGGGGACUCAUGACGGUACCGUAAGAAUAAGCACCGGCUAACUACGUGCCAGCCGCCGCAGUAA